rnacentral:misc_RNA from 1 species
UAUUCUCAACCCUCUUCUUUGAGUGGUUUGGAUGUGGAGGUUUUGCAGGCACAUAUAACGUGUCAGCUCCUCUGAAAUGCAUUAGCAGAACUGUUUGCAAUCUGUAAACCGGUGUGAUAGUUAUCUACGCCAGUGAGAUUGCUUUCUGGGUGGUCUGCUUCUAAUGAAUGAACUUUAUGAAC